rnacentral:rRNA from 1 species
GACGGGGCCCGCACAAGCGGUGGAGCACGUGGUUUAAUUCGAUGCAAACCGAAGAACCUUACCUGGUCUUGACAUCCCGGAGACCCUUAGGAAACUAGGGGGUGCCUUCCAUCUGGAAGAAUCUGGAGACAGGUGCUGCAUGGCUGUCGUCAGCUCGUGUCGUGAGAUGUUGGGUUAAGUCCCGCAACGAGCGCAACCCUUGCCUUUAGUUGCCAGCAGUUCGGCUGGGCACUCUAAAGGGACUGCCGGUGUUAAACCGGAGGAAGGUGGGGAUGACGUCAAGUCCUCAUGGCCUUUAUGACCAGGGCUACACACGUACUACAAUGGCCGAUACAAAGGGCAGCGACACUGCGAGGUGAAGCCAAUCCCGUAAAAUCGGUCUCAGUCCGGAUUGGAGUCUGCAACUCGACUCCAUGAAGUUGGAAUCGCUAGUAAUCGUGGAUCAGCAUGCCACGGUGAAUACGUUCCCGGGCCUU